UNUAUAUCACAUGGUUACCUACCAGCAGC
rnacentral:piRNA from 1 species